rnacentral:rRNA from 1 species
AACGAACGCUGGCGGCAGGCUUAACACAUGCAAGUCGAACGCCCCGCAAGGGGAGUGGCAGACGGGUGAGUAACACGUGGGAACGUGCCCUAAGGUUUGGAAUAUUCCCGGGAAACUGGGAGCAAUACCAAAUGUGUCCGCAAGGAGAAAGAUUUAUCGCCUUAGGAUCGGCCCGCGUCGGAUUAGCUAGUUGGUGGGGUAAUGGCCUACCAAGGCGACGAUCCGUAGCUGGUUUGAGAGAACGACCAGCCACACUGGGACUGAGACACGGCCCAGACUCCUACGGGAGGCAGCAGUGGGGAAUCUUGGACAGUGGGCGCAAGCCUGAUCCAGCCAUGCCGCGUGGAUGAUGAAGGCCUUAGGGUUGUAAAAUCCUUUCGUUGGGGACGAUAAUGACGGUACCCAAAGAAGAAGCUCCGGCUAACUUCGUGCCAGCCGCCGCCGUAAAAC